rnacentral:rRNA from 1 species
UCCUACGGGAGGCUGCAGUGGGGAAUAUUGCACAAUGGGGGAAACCCUGAUGCAGCCAUGCCGCGUGUGUGAAGAAGGCCUUCGGGUUGUAAAGCACUUUCAGCGAGGAGGAAAGGUCAGUAGCUAAUAUCUGCUGGCUGUGACGUUACUCGCAGAAGAAGCACCGGCUAACUCCGUGCCAGCAGCCGCGGUAAUACGGAGGGUGCAAGCGUUAAUCGGAAUUACUGGGCGUAAAGCGCACGCAGGCGGUUGGAGAAGUUAGAUGUGAAAGCCCCGGGCUCAACCUGGGAAUUGCAUUUAAAACUGUCCAGCUAGAGUCUUGUAGAGGGGGGUAGAAUUCCAGGUGUAGCGGUGAAAUGCGUAGAGAUCUGGAGGAAUACCGGUGGCGAAGGCGGCCCCCUGGACAAAGACUGACGCUCAGGUGCGAAAGCGUGGGGAGCGAACAGGAUUAGAUACCCCAGUAGUCGC